GGCUGGAAUGUUCCCUGACGCUAGAACAUGAUUUUUACUGCCAAAUUGAGGCCUACCUUUUGAGGGUGAAUUCGCGUUCUUGCUCGACGGAGCCACUGAUUCUACAGUGCAUCUUCCCUUUCUGUUUGUUCCUAGUUACAUGACCUGGAUAGCUCCACUUGCUGCUUUCUCCAAAUUUGACCUACGUACCACAAAAAUUAAAUGUGUUUUCGUGCUCAUCUAAUCCUCUUCCAGAAAUACAUAAAGUUUCUGGCGGACAAUGAGUUAAUAUCGCUGCUUUCCUUGUUCUUAAUGGGUUUGUUCUUUCAAGAUGUAAUUGCUACUAUUUUGCAGGAUUCUAUUAAGUGUUCCUGCCAAUUCAUGGUUGGUCUUAGAAUAUCGGGGUUACUUUAUUUAUAGAUUGUUUAAAUUUGGGAUUGGGUGAAAUGCAUAUUCCGAAGUGAGGUUACUUGUGUAUAUAUGACAUAGUGCAUUACAUGGCUUUAGGGUUUUAUAGACUUGACGGUGGGAGUUUCGUUGUUUUUGUCCUUCGACAAGAUUGGUCUUUAUUAUCAUGCCAUUAGGUAAUUUGAUGGGAAAAUUUAAUGAAUUGCUACCCGGUGAUCCCCAGUCCUGCAAAGGUGAUUGAAGCUACAAUCCCAAGAAACCGCUAGGAAACGUUGGAAACUAAUUUUGGAGUUGCCUGAACUGUAUGCGGUUCUGACUAUGAGCAAAAUAACCUCUAGCAGCUACUCUUGGUAAUAUUUUCUCUUGAGAUGGUCACCGUGAAGAGUUGAUCCGAGACUACUUAAAAAACAAGAGGAGUUAAUCACAAAAUCUGUUUUGCAUCUCUCUCUCUCUCUCUCUCUCGACUGAGGAACACUCCUCGAGCUUUCACUGCAAUGACGUCUUGAAGAUCUGGUUAGUGUUGUAAUAUUCUCCUGGAAUAUUGUAAAGGAAACGGUGAAUACUGUAUCUUUAUCCUGCCUAAUAUGGAGUUUCUCUAUACUUGCAAUGUUUUUGUACUUGGACAUUCAUAUAUUUAAUACUUGCUGCGUUUUUGUAUUUGGACAUUCGAAUAUUUAAUUACGGAAUCAUUGAUAUUAAACAAUUAGUUAUUCAGAUUACAUUUUCCUUAUACGACUUCUUGCGUUACAGUCUGUAGUCAUGCUACUUUUUCAUAAGAGGAUGCAAGAAGAAAGCACUUCUCCCAUCUGUUUGUCUGGCGAAUUAAUGUCCACCUGAAGUUUUGUGGAACCUGUCAAAAGGGAACUGAAAUUGCUUGGAAGUUCCUGGAUUCGGCUGUCAACCUCAUGAACAAGUCGUUCAUUGAUCAUUAAGUGCUUCAGACUCUCUUAUUUAGUUUAGAAACGAGCAUGUGAUUGCAAAUUAACCUUUUUCUCGUUGCGACAGAAUCAUAGAGAGUGGACUACGAAGAGGAAUUCGUUUUUGCUUGUUCUUGUGGACGGACCAUUUUGAUUGACACCUGAGCUAGUCAUUUGAGUAGAUAUUUUGGUCGUGGAAAUAAUGUAUUACAUAGCGUUGCAUUUACAGUUACACAUUUGUGUGAAGGUCUGAUUUUUCUCAAUCUUUCUUUAGUUAAACUAGAGUUGUCUCCAAGAUACGAGUCGAUAAUAGAUAUACUGUUGUCAAGUAUUUGCAGCUGUCUUACAGGGCAAUCAUCCCUUUCUUUUGGCUCUAAGUUGGGGAUAUCAGUGAAAGAAGUAUCGAUUGUCACUUCGAGGUAAGAUUAUUAUUACUCCUUGGAGAUUCAAAUGUAGAAUCGCAGGGGCCAGCACUGUUGCGUGACGGAAUCAGAAACAGUUUGGUUUUCCAAGUGUUUCAAGGAGGACUUACCCUUUGGCCAGGUUGGGCUCUGUAAAGCUACUGACAUCCCUGAUGCUAAUACUAUCUUGAUGAUUGUGGAUCAAAAUGAUUAUCGCGAUGAAAUAACGUUGUGAGUGCUUAUAGCAACCCAAUUCCUUGAGGCUUUGGGGAUCCACAACUGCAAUGCAUCCUUCUCUAGUAUGAACAAUCAUCUCUUGGACCUUAUUAAUGGCGUGCUGCCGUGGGGCCCUCUUAAUUUUUUUUUUAAUGAAUCAGACAAUAUCAAGUUAGAGGAUUGUCUAAGAGGGCAAUCGCUGAGAAUGCUCCCGAGAAGUUCUGCAAUUGCCAAAUUUCCUUUAGCCAGAACUUGUAUCAAUUACAUUUGCCAAUGAAAUAGCUUGGGUUAGGGAGCCCAUCUAUUUAGCUAAUUAUGUUUUUGUUUUGAUCAUGUUCUUUCUGUUAUGCUUCUGGAUCUUUUUUUGCAUUCGUGGUGGAGUUUUAAUAUGCCUACGCGCCAGUUGCUCCUGGUGACCUCUUAUAUUUGAGGGAGCAGUGUGAUGUGGUUUUAGUGUUAACUUUGUUUUGUGUAAAAUCUUCGACAUGUAAUUCUUAUGCAUCUUGUGGAUUAAUUCUUCAGGGGGUACAAAGUGGAUCAUGAUGAGAAGGGAAAGGAGGGACAGAGGGCAUAUGAAGAGGAAGCGGUUUCAAUGUUUUGAUAAUGAUGAACCUGCUCUGAAUUGGGUUGAUAAUCUACUGGAUGUUGAUCCUCUGGACCGAUUCUGUCAUUAUCCAUCGGAAAAGGAGUAUGGACACCGGAAAUGUUCGAGGAGGGAAAGAAAUAAAGGCAAGAGACGAAGGAAGAAGAGGGAAAAACAAAGAAAAAGAAAGGCACAUUUGUCUGCCAACUAUGUUUUUGUUUUGACUACAUUCUUCUGCUAUAUUACUGAUUAUUUUGGGUCAGUAGUGGAGUUUAUAAUUGCUGUUUACAAAUAGGAAUUGCUAAUAACCGCCUUUGCAAUUUAUGGUA